rnacentral:rRNA from 1 species
GAUGAACGCUGGCGGCGUGCCUAAUGCAUGCAAGUCGAGCGAACGGACGAGAAGCUUGCUUCUCUGAUGUUAGCGGCGGACGGGUGAGUAACACGUGGAUAACCUACCUAUAAGACUGGGAUAACUUCGGGAAACCGGAGCUAAUACCGGAUAAUAUUUUGAACCGCAUGGUUCAAAAGUGAAAGACGGUCUUGCUGUCACUUAUAGAUGGAUCCGCGCUGCAUUAGCUAGUUGGUAAGGUAACGGCUUACCAAGGCAACGAUGCAUAGCCGACCUGAGAGGGUGAUCGGCCACACUGGAACUGAGACACGGUCCAGACUCCUACGGGAGGCAGCAGUAGGGAAUCUUCCGCAAUGGGCGAAAGCCUGACGGAGCAACGCCGCGUGAGUGAUGAAGGUCUUCGGAUCGUAAAACUCUGUUAUUAGGGAAGAACAUAUGUGUAAGUAACUGUGCACAUCUUGACGGUACCUAAUCAGAAAGCCACGGCUAACUACGUGCCAGCAGCCGCGGUAAUACGUAGGUGGCAAGCGUUAUCCGGAAUUAUUGGGCGUAAAGCGCGCGUAGGCGGUUUUUUAAGUCUGAUGUGAAAGCCCACGGCUCAACCGUGGAGGGUCAUUGGAAACUGGAAAACUUGAGUGCAGAAGAGGAAAGUGGAAUUCCAUGUGUAGCGGUGAAAUGCGCAGAGAUAUGGAGGAACACCAGUGGCGAAGGCGACUUUCUGGUCUGUAACUGACGCUGAUGUGCGAAAGCGUGGGGAUCAAACAGGAUUAGAUACCCUGGUAGUCCACGCCGUAAACGAUGAGUGCUAAGUGUUAGGGGGUUUCCGCCCCUUAGUGCUGCAGCUAACGCAUUAAGCACUCCGCCUGGGGAGUACGACCGCAAGGUUGAAACUCAAAGGAAUUGACGGGGACCCGCACAAGCGGUGGAGCAUGUGGUUUAAUUCGAAGCAACGCGAAGAACCUUACCAAAUCUUGACAUCCUUUGACAACUCUAGAGAUAGAGCCUUCCCCUUCGGGGGGGCAAAGUGACAGGUGGUGCAUGGUUGUCGUCAGCUCGUGUCGUGAGAUGUUGGGUUAAGUCCCGCAACGAGCGCAACCCUUAAGCUUAGUUGCCAUCAUUAAGUUGGGCACUCUAAGUUGACUGCCGGUGACAAACCGGAGGAAGGUGGGGAUGACGUCAAAUCAUCAUGCCCCUUAUGAUUUGGGCUACACACGUGCUACAAUGGACAAUACAAAGGGCAGCGAAACCGCGAGGUCAAGCAAAUCCCAUAAAGUUGUUCUCAGUUCGGAUUGUAGUCUGCAACUCGACUACAUGAAGCUGGAAUCGCUAGUAAUCGUAGAUCAGCAUGCUACGGUGAAUACGUUCCCGGGUCU